ACCCGCUGAAUUUAAGCAUAUCAAUAAGCGGAGGAAAAGAAACCAACAGGGAUUGCCUCAGUAACGGCGAGUGAAGCGGCAACAGCUCAAAUUUGAAAUCUGGCCUCACGGUCCGAGUUGUAAUUUGUAGAGGAUGCUUUUGGCGAGGUGCUUUCCGAGUUCCCUGGAACGGGACGCCAUAGAGGGUGAGAGCCCCGUACGGUAAGACCACCGAGCCUCUGUAAAGCUCCUUCGACGAGUCGAGUAGUUUGGGAAUGCUGCUCUAAAUGGGAGGUGUACGUCUUCUAAAGCUAAAUACCGGCCAGAGACCGAUAGCGCACAAGUAGAGUGAUCGAAAGAUGAAAAGCACUUUGAAAAGAGGGUUAAAAAGUACGUGAAAUUGUUGAAAGGGAAGCAUUCAUGACCAGACUUGGGCUUGGUUGAACAUCCGGCGUUCUCGCCGGUGCACUCUGCCAGUCCAGGCCAGCAUCAGUUUGCCCCGGGGGAUAAAGGCGGCGGGAAUGUGGCUCCCUUCGGGGAGUGUUAUAGCCCGUCGUGUAAUGCCCUGGGGCGGACUGAGGAACGCGCUUCGGCACGGAUGCUGGCGUAAUGGUCAUCAAUGACCCGUCUUGAAACACGGACCAAGG
rnacentral:rRNA from 1 species